rnacentral:miRNA from 1 species
ACUUUGUUAUGGCAUUCCUCG